AAUUCUCAACCUUCAACUGGUUUGCGCUGGUUUUGAAGGCUUGGAUGUGAGGGCUUUUGCUGGCUUCCUUCAGUGGCGGUCUGCUCCCUUUAAAUGCAUUAGUGGGUUUCAGUUUUGUGAAGCGCUUCACUCUGGUGUGAUAAUUGUCAUCGCCGUUUUGAAUGCGUUAGUAGCAAGCAAUCUUAAAGGAACCUGCUUAUAACCGUCCCGCAAGGACAAUUUACUUGACC
rnacentral:misc_RNA from 1 species